CCUGGCUCAGGACGAACGCUGGCGGCGUGCCUAAUACAUGCAAGUAGAACGCUGAAGGAGGAGCUUGCUUCUCUGGAUGAGUUGCGAACGGGUGAGUAACGCGUAGGUAACCUGCCCAUCAGAAGGGGAUAACAUUCGGAAACGAUAGCUAAUACCGCAUAAUAGUAGAUGUUGCAUGACAUUUGCUUAAAAGGUGCAAUUGCAUCACUACCAGAUGGACCUGCGUUGUAUUAGCUAGUUGGUGAGGUAACGGCUCACCAAGGCAACGAUACAUAGCCGACCUGAGAGGGUGAUCGGCCACACUGGGACUGAGACACGGCCCAGACUCCUACGG
rnacentral:rRNA from 1 species